rnacentral:rRNA from 1 species
AUGAAUCUCUUCUUUGUUUCUUCAUCUCCUCUUAUUCUGAUUCCUGCGUUUGUUUUAUGUGAAGGUUGCUCCGAUGAGGACAAGCUGCUUCUGCAGGUGGACGGGCCCUCAAGGCUGCUCUGCCUAUUCCUCAUGCUACCCCCACACGUGCGAACACAAAGCCGUCGAUGCAUUGAGGGCUCAAUGUCGUCUCCGUCGGCUGAGCGGCAAGCCGGGGUUGGGCCUGCACACCGUCUAUUAGCACCCUCCCGCGUCUCCAUUCACGGAUCUGCAGGUCAACCCCUCUCCUCCUCCUAUCCAUGCAUCUUCUUUUCCAGAGCUAGGUGUAUGGUUGCAUGGCAAUUUGUGUUUUGGGGCUCACCAUGUUCUGCUUGCCUUGGUUGGCCAAUGAGGCUUUCCUUUUCUGGUAAAGGCCAAAUGUACUAUUCUCUAUGCUUUAUAUUUUUGUAG